CUUCUCCCCCCCGGAAGUGCCCCCCGGCCGGGCUGCGUAUGAAAGGGCUUGGCUGGACGGUCCGCGCCUCUAGACUGGAGCUUUGCCACAGAUCUGAAUCAUUUGUUUGCAGAAAGGUUUUGAAACUGGGCCAAGGGCUGCCUAGAGGAGAAAAGCUACAAGUUGCUGACCUCUGCCCUGGAGUGCUCAUUUGCAGACGCCACAAAAGGAACAGCACUGAGCUCGUGGGUUAUCGUGGUUAACGUUCAGCCUAGAUGGCAACAGCGGCAAUCAGCACAAUGUAAAUGGUAGGAGGAAUUGCAGGGAUUUCUGUCUGAGUGGGAGAAGAUCAAUCCUCAUCAAACAGAUCAUUGAAGGUGAGAAUAUUAAAAAUGUGUGCGAAACCCAGAUUUUGAAUGUGGAACAAGAGAGAUUUGUUAUCUAUUGAUCAGUGGGUCAGAGGUCAAUGGGGGAAGGGACUUUCUUUUCAUAUUCCUUGCCUUUUCCCCCCUUUCUCCCCCCACUUUUGCUGUUCUUGUAUCCUGUGCGCAUCACUGAAGAGUUAACAGGUGGACUGUGGUCUGCACUGAAUUACAGGACUACAUCCCCGUCAACGCAGCCAAGUACCCCAUUCUUUACCUGGGCAGGUAGCAGCACCUGGCUAAGCAGGGUUGGACCUGGUUAGUACAUGGAUGAGAGGCCACCAGGGGAUCCUAGGAUCCCGGGAGCUGAUCUUAACUCAGAGGGGAUUUUACCUGGACCUUCCUGCAUUUCCUCCCUGCGGCCAAUAGGGGGAGACCCACGCAUGUUGCAAAGAGAGCAGAAAUUGAGAAACUAAAAAGUUGGAAAAGCAAAAAGAGUCGCUUUUUAACGAGAUGGUCGGUGACAAAUUUGACAUAUACAUAAAAUAAAUAAAUAACAUUUAGAGCAGGGGCUUGCAGGCUUUUGUUGCCAGGCAAGUAAACCAGGAUGGUUAAGACAGCUUGCAGCCCCUCUCAGCCAGUGAACCCCAACAAGCUGGAACAGCAGCAAAUCCCUAACUUCUCCUAGGAGCUGACGUUUGUUGAUGAAGCCUGCACCACCCAAGAGACCAGCUCAGCCUUGGCAGCUGGUCGUGCCCGUGGAACGUAUCCGUGGGUAUGAUCAGAGAUUUCAGAGGAAGUCUGGAUUAUGGGCCGCUAACGACUGCAGAUCCUACCGAUGAGCACAGGAGAUGUCAUGUCUGUGUUCGAAAACAACCACUCAAUUGCACUGCAUUAUUUUCUGCCAGAUUUUUAUAUCUAUCUAUCCAUCCAUCCAUCCAUCCAUCCAUCCAUCCAUCCAUCCAUCCAUCCAUCC